rnacentral:rRNA from 1 species
UGCCAGCCGCCGCGGUAAUACGUAGGGUGCAAGCGUUAAUCGGAAUUACUGGGCGUAAAGCGUGCGCAGGCGGUUCGCUAAGACAGAUGUGAAAUCCCCGGGCUUAACCUGGGAACUGCAUUUGUGACUGGCGGGCUAGAGUAUGGCAGAGGGGGGUAGAAUUCCACGUGUAGCAGUGAAAUGCGUAGAGGUGUGGAGGAAUACCGAUGGCGAAGGCAGCCCCCUGGGCCAAUACUGACGCUGAGGAGCGAAAGCAUGGGUAGCGAACAGGAUUAGAUA